GUUGUAAUAAAUGUAGUUAAUCCAAUUAAGGUUUUUGUUGGCAGUGACUAUGGUAAAAAGUGAUUCAAAACCUGCAGCUACUUCAUCUCUAGCUUUAAAUUCAUUAGGUACCCCCCUAGGUACCCCAAUGGCAUCUAUGUAAAUGUGGGGGUCAAAACUGCCUUUUACUGGGGUUUCGCGCCUUACUCUGGCUGGUGUAUGUGGAGGGUCGUAUGUGUCAUGAUGAUUAUCAGAAAUAAUAUGAAUGGGCAUGAUAACUUUGGCUAGGGUACACUCACCCCACCACUCAGUUUCCAGCCUAGAUCUUAACUGUAGAUCCCCACAUAACCAGUAAAUAUCCCCCAAUGACCUGGUAUGGUGUUGCAACAGGCGUAUAGGAACAGUUCUGUAAGUGGCGCAAUAACCUUUAGAAAAAUUACCCAUGAAUUUACCAA
rnacentral:lncRNA from 1 species